UACGGAGGGGGCUAGCGUUGUUCGGAAUUACUGGGCGUAAAGCGUGCGCAGGCGGUGAUGUAAGACCGAUGUGAAAUCCCCGGGCUUAACCUGGGAACUGCAUUGGUGACUGCAUUGCUCGAGUAUGGCAGAGGGGGGUGGAAUUCCACGUGUAGCAGUGAAAUGCGUAGAGAUGUGGAGGAAUACCGAUGGCGAAGGCAGCCCCCUGGGAUAACACUGACGCUCAUGCACGAAAGCGUGGGGAGCAAACAGG
rnacentral:rRNA from 1 species